rnacentral:rRNA from 1 species
GAUGAACGCUGGCGGUAUGCUUAACACAUGCAAGUCGAACGGUCACUUCGGUGAUAGUGGCGGACGGGUGAGUAACGCGUGAGAAUCUGUCCUCAGGUCGGGGACAACAGUUAGAAAUGACUGCUAAUACCGGAUGUGCCUUUGGGUGAAAGAUUUAUUGCCUGAAAAAGAGCUCGCGUCAGAUUAGCUAGUAGGUGGUGUAAGAGACUACCUAGGCUCCGAUCUGUAGCUGGUCUGAGAGGACGAUCAGUCACACUGGAACUGAGACACAGUCCAGACUCCUACGCGGGGCAGCAGUAGGGAAUAUUCCGCAAGGGACGAUAGCCUGGCGAAGCAAUACCGCGGAAGGGACGAAGGCUGUUGUAUCGUAAACCUCUUUUCUCAGAGGAGAGGAUGACGGUACUGGGUGAAUAAGCAUCGGCUAACUCUGUG